rnacentral:rRNA from 1 species
UACAGAGGUCUCAACCGUUGUUCGGAUUCAUUGGGCGUAAAGGGUGCGUAGGCGGUCGGGUAAGUCGGAUGUGAAAUCUCAGGGCUCAACCCUGAAACUGCAUUCGAUACUGCUUGGCUAGGGUACUGGAGAGGAGACUGGAAUUUACGGUGUAGCAGUGAAAUGCGUAGAUAUCGGUAAGGAAGACCAGUGGCGAAGGCGAGUCUCUGGACAGUUACCGACGCUGAGGCACGAAGGUCAGGGGAGCAAACGGG